rnacentral:rRNA from 1 species
GCACAAGCGGUGGAGCAUGUGGUUAAUUCGAAGCAACGCGAAGAACCUUACCAGGUCUUGACAUCCCGAUGCUAUUUCUAGAGAUAGAAAGUUACUUCGGUACAUCGGUGACAGGUGGUGCAUGGUUGUCGUCAGCUCGUGUCGUGAGAUGUUGGGUUAAGUCCCGCAACGAGCGCAACCCCUACGUUUAGUUGCUAACGCGUGAAGGCGAGCACUCUAGACGAACUGCCGUUGACAAAACGGAGGAAGGUGGGGAUGACGUCAAAUCAUCAUGCCCCUUAUGUUCUGGGCUACACACGUGCUACAAUGGCCGGUACAGACGGACGCAAAGCCGCGAGGUGGAGCAAAUCCUAAAAAGCCGGUCUCAGUUCGGAUUGCAGGCUGCAAUUCGCCUGCAUGAAGUCGGAAUCGCUAGUAAUCGCAGGUCAGCAUACUGCGGUGAAUACGUUCCCGGGCCUU